CCCCCAUCGUCUAGCCCGGUUAGGACGCCCGACUUCUAAUCGGGAAACGUCGGUUCAAAUCCGACUGGGGGCC
rnacentral:tRNA from 1 species